rnacentral:lncRNA from 1 species
AUCUGUUUGGUGCUGCCUCUCCCACCAACGCGACUUCAGGCUCCAGGUCCUCCUACUUGGAGGAGCCAGAGAGGCCUCUCGGGUGCCUGGAGGGGAGAGCUCAAAGUGUUAAAUGCAGGAAGAGCAUUAGAAACAAGGGCAGUUUUCUGGCUUUGAUCCUUCACUUGGCUGAUUCCUGGAGAGAGGCUUGUCUGGGGCUAUCACUGUAGAAGAGUUUGGAAGCAGCUGAGCAAGGCACUGCUCAGCCUGGGGGAUCAAAGUACACUGUGAGCAAAGCAGCACGAUGUGCUCUGUUUGAAGCAGGAGCUGCAAAAUACAGUACAGUGCUCCUCUCAGCUGGAAAGCCAACAGUGAGGAUGUUUCCCUUCUUUCUGUCUUUCUGUGGAUUUUUCAACAGGAUUUGGUUGUUAAGGAUUGUACACUGCACAGUGAAAGAAGCAUGCAGGAGGCAAGGCACUGAACAGAAAAGCCCUGCAUAAAACCUGGCAUUCAUUUAAAGGAAGAAAAAUGUCACUGAAAGCUGCACGAUUAUUAGCAUUGCUAUGCAUGAGGAGUAGUCAAGGAAGAUGAUACAAGAGGAAGAGAGACAUUAUUCAAGUGUCUAAGAAGACAGACCAUCAUCAGCAGUGGAGAGAGAAAAGGCUUCCGAAGGAAUAGCGUAGCAUUUCAAACAUUAAAUUAUAAGGGCACUGAAGCUUUAAAAGCGUGUUGCACUCUGUAUAACCUUGCCUUUGAUCGUGAUGUCACUUCAGAUGAAAGACUCACAUGGAGAGUGGUACGUUGUGCAUUAGGAUCAGCUGAUAUCCUCCAGGAUCUGAACAGUGAAGGACUAUUUGAGAUGUGCACUCUAUGUAUGUCAAAGAGAAAUACAUGCUGCAAUAAAAAUAGUAGUUGGCUAAGCAAACUCACCUUAGUCUGGGGAGAAGGAAGACUUCACCUUUAUGCAAGACGACCUGCUUAAUCUGAAGGCUCUCCUAGAAGGGAUUUUAAGGAUGAGUAAUCAUUUUUACUGUCUUUCAGUUCAGGUUCUCAAUUCAGCUCAGUGAUUUCCUGAAUACCUGAGCAGAUUUUUGGUAUUUUGAUUGUCUGUACCUGGGCUGUUACCAGUGGAAGUGAAAUGCCCUCAGAACAGCCUCUUUGGCUUCCAUUAUCAUGAGCAGCUCCACACAGACGAACCUCAGUGUGCUUGGGGCACCUUUAUACAGUUGUCUGCUGUGCCUGGGAGCUUGGUGCCUGGAGCCAGAUGUCACAGUUCAGUCCGUCACAUGACAGACUUCCCCAGAAAACUUCAAGCCAGGCAAACUUACAACCAUACACUGUGGUCUGAGGAUGGUGAGAGGAUUCUGCAUACAAAAAUUCAGCUGGCCUAAGCGGGCCUGUUCAGCUCCCAUUAGAGCACUUGCUGGAAACCCCUCCAAAAGCAGGAAAAGCAGACUGUUCCCACACAGGCAUUUUUCUUACUCUGAAGCCCUGAUCUCCUUAUCGAACAUACAUGGCCAGAGAUGAUGUUGGGGCUGUGUCCUGUUACAGAAAAUGCCUUCCUGCAGACGUGCAUCCCAUUUUGCUAUGGCCUUGCUCACACCUUCUUAGCAUUUACUUCCUGGGAAUGUCUAAGUGAUGGAGGGUGAAGGCCUGACCCCAUGCAGCUCUGCCAUCACAUUUGAUGGAGUCAGUAUUUCACCCAUGCUACCAGUGACAGAGACUGAAUGUCAGCGCUGCAUGCAUCAGCUUUCACAGAAAUCAAUUCUCACAUAGAGCAUUAAUAUUGGAAGUGCCUCUCACUCACCUAAUCAUUGGCCAGGCACAAUAAUCUGUGACUAACAGUCAUUCAUGGUUAUACAGCACAGCCUGAUUAUAAAAAUUUGCCAUUAGUCUGUAACAAAAAAAAUCUCAAGCUGUUAAUUGACCAAUACGUAUUCCUGAGGAAAUCAGAGUAAUCACAUGGAUAUUCAUGGCACAGAAAGGGAAGGUACAGCUAGCAUUGCAUUGCUUCUGUGAGUCAUCUGCUCUGGUCUACUUUUGAUUAUUUUUUUCCUCAUGUGGGACCAGUAUUGUAAAUCAAAGAUUUGAGAAGUAAGGCUAUGCUUAAAGUGUCCCAAAUUAAAAUCCAGUUGCCCCCUUUCUUCUCUUAGGCAGCCAUCCAGUUUUGUGCAGGAAUAGACACAUGCUAAUGGCUGUGAUACAGCUACAGAAGUGAACCAGUUAGCUCUUGGUCUGCCUUUGCCAAUGGCAAGGUCAGCUACUGGAAAAAGUUACAAAACAGCUUUAACAGCUAGGUAUGAUCCCACAGAAGAGCCUUGACUGAGAACUGUUAGUCUUUGCUAAUUUUCAUUCAAGUCAGUCUCAAAACAAGGACAACAGCAUGUGUGCGGGUUGGAUUGUUGUUGGAUGGGCCCAUUCAUGACAAUGGUCAGGAUAGUUUGUCCAUGUGGUAGAUUUUAUUCUACUUUCACUUCCCUGAAGCACUAGAGCAGAUCAGGCCACACAAGAGAUACAACUGUCUGGCUGGCAUGAAGGAGUCGUCUGUCUGGCAGAGAGGUCUCAGCAUCUCUCAGAGCCCAAGGAAUUCUCAAAUAGUACCUAAAACUAUGGGCACCCUCUGGCAUCUUUGCUCUGGUCACCAGCCUUCGCUGUAGGACACACACUUGGAUUUAUUUAUGAUUUAGCAAUGAUACGAGCAGAGCUCAGAAAAGUUGUUGGUGACUGUAGGGAAAAAAACAGAAAGCAGACCAUAACUCAGGUCAUCAGAUGAAUUCAAAAUGCAUUAAUAACACCAGAGCUUCCAAUAAAUUUCAUUUCAGGCAGAAUAGAAAUGUUUUC